CUUUAAUGGCUAGGCCUACUUGGUAGCCGGCUCGCGGCAGGGCAGGACCUUGAAGACCACGCGGUUCAACUUGCCGUUUGCAGAUGUGGAAACUGAAGCCCAGAGAGGGUAUGCAGCGUGUGCAAGGUUACACUGCUGGGUAGUGGCCUGCCUGGGACUGGACUCAAGCGCUCCUGGCUGCCCUUGGCCUUGCACUCAGCUUCCCCCUUCGAGGAGGAAAAGGGAUAGGGAGAAUGUUUGAAGAAGGAUGUGUAAGCUCAAGGGCCAGGACCCUGCAGCACAUGGCACAACCAGACCUCCAUAAACAAUUUUCUGAACACAGGAAACUACUGGAGGAUGUGGUGCACCAAGACGAGAGAGAAUAAACUAAGAAACAGGAAGACGUGGUCCUAGAAACAGGAUAUUCAGCACAGCAGUGAGGUUCAGUCACCAAAUUAAUGGUGCAAGCACAGGAGUGGAAGUAACACAGUUGCUCAGGCUCGCACGGCAGGCGUUCAGCAGGGAGGAUCAACACAUUCGUCUUUCCAAUGUUCUGAUUCCCACUAAAGUGUAAACCAAG